CUUUCAGAGCUUUUCCCUUACUUUGUCCGUGUCAACAAACAAUUCGAAAUACCUCGACUUUUUCAGAACAGGUCCGAGUCAAAUAGCAAUGAUGGCCUCGGUCAUUAUGUAUUGAACCGAGGAAAAAGCCUCUGUAACGAUUGGUCGGUAGUAAAAAGUCAUAGUAAAACUGGUAGCGGCUUAUACUAG
rnacentral:rRNA from 1 species